AGUAGAUCACAGUUGAAGAUUCUCCGUAGAAAGUGCAAGGUUUGUUUGUCCACUGUCUGCCCGCUCAAACACUUCUCCUUCCCCUCCUUCACCGUCCUCCUUGCAUGGUCCCAGGAUGCCACGCCCUCGCCCUCGCCCCCCCACCAGGAGCCAAAGAACGGGAGAGAGAACUGCAUCUGCGCCCUACCACUGAUUUGGGUGGCGACGGCCAUGACGCUCGUGGGGCCGGGGACUGCGCGUAGCAUCAACUCAGAUUCACCCUUACUCCAGCGAGUGUAAGACUGAGCCGAAGAAUUUAUCUUCACUCAUCUGUGAACUCCAACCUGGCAAUGAGUACGAACUGGACAGCUUCAAAUGGGAAAACUACACAAAAUUAACGAUCAAGGGGAAAGGGAACAGCUUUUUCCUGAAGCAUCCUAAGUGCAGUGACAAGGAUAGGAAUGUGCACAUCUACAACGCUUCACGAGUUACCACCGAUCAACCUGAAAAUGGCUGCUCGGUACAGCUCUUCCUUUACAACUGCACAGGCGUCACCAUUGUGGGCGGCGUGAGCAGGGUGCGUCUGGAGUCUUCCAAGGCAGAAAAAGUGAUCCCUUCCAGAAGUGACUCAGUUUGAUGUUUAUGACUCCCGGAUCGGGGAAGUAUCCUUGACCAUUACCAGCAAAAAGUCGACUUUACAUAACUCUACUAUUGAACUGGUGAAUAAGUUGGUGAUUAACGGCUCCUUUAUCUUCCAAAUGAAAGACUGCAAGCUAGGUCACGUCAAAGAAUUCAUAUACAUUAACGACCAAACUCUAACUCAGGACUUGAUGGUCGACCGUGAGUCCCCUUAUGGCAUCCAAGUUUUUAGAGGCAGCCUGAAUUUUGAGGCUAUUUUCGACGUAGUAGAGCCAGACGGUAUAGUGGUGAUGCCUGAAGCAGCACUCAGCUUGAAAUUCGGAGAAAUCCGCACUUUUUCCGAGGAUUCCAUUGUUGUCAUGCCUGGGGGUAUGUUGUCGCUGCAUAACAUGACGCUUGGACAAAAUCUCUUUAUCUCUUUCACUUUCGGAGGAGCUUCCGUCCAGAUGUACCCAGUGUCGUUCUUAAAGCCCCCCUGGGUGGCGGCCCCAUGGGGUGGAUCGCCAUCGGUGUGGGCUUUCGGUCCUCGUGGUGGGCAGCGUGACAACUGCGGCCAUGACGUACUUCGUGAAACACAAGAAACGGUCCUUUUCCCGCGAACAGCGUGGAUACCAACAAACUGCUCAGCCCAAGAACAAUCUUCACCACAGACAGAAAAGGAUACAGAUUCACCUCGUCAACAAACACAACUUACCAAAGUCCAUGCCAGCCCCUCCCAACCGCCCCUUACCGAAUGUGCCCACAUGGAUGAGUGAUAUGCAUUAUGACGAUGUGGUCACAGCUUUGUCACCCCCCCCCACCGAAAUGGCUCCCCUACCAGAAGUAGCUCAGAGGCCUCCGUGCGCUUUACCAAAAGAAUCCCAAUCAACUAAACCCUCGCUUCAUCGUAGCAUCAAAGACAGAUUUUGCGGCAAAUCGAACUUUCUCCCCCCAGUAAUGAAGCACAGUAAGCAAGAUCCCCGCGAUUGCCCUACCACCACCCCCGCCACCAGCUGAGGAACUGUACGACGACCUGGAGGACAUGAAUCUACAGCUUCCACCACUGCCACCCACCACCAACAGACCUCAGCUGCCAGUAACACGGAAGGACAAGCCACUUCCCCGCGACCUGUGAGCGACGAAGAACUGUAUGACGACGUGGGGGACAUGAGCUUACAGCCUCCCCCACCGCCACCCAGUGCUAAUAAACCUAAGCUCUCCAAGGGGAAGCCAGUACCCGCCACCACCUUUACGCAAACCUAAGGUGCGCUAAAUGUGUGUGUGUGUGUGUGUGUGUGUGUGUGUGUGUGUGCUGUGUGUGUGUGUGUGUGUGUGUGUGUGUGUUGUGUGUGUGUGUGUGUGUGUGUGUGUGUGUGUGUGUGUCGCUGCUCAUCUAUACUUUUAAUGGGAAGGAAAGAUGAACGAAGAUGUUCACAAGCAUACAGGAAUUAUGGAUCAACUUCUCUUCCUUCAAGAUACGUGACGCUAAGGAUCUCAUUUGCUGCAUGGAUCCUUGCAUAUAUUUAUUUGCCACAGUUUUUGUAGUAGUAGUAGUAAUAGUAGUAGUAGUAGUAGUAGUAGUUAGUAGUAGUAGUAGUAGUAGUAGUAGUAAUAGUAGUAGUAGUAAGGCACAAAAAUGUUUUAAAAGAAAUACACACAUACAUAAUUAUAUAAACAUGUAUACACAUUUUUGGCUUUAUGAAGUGUGCUGAAAUAUAUCCACAGAUGACAAAAAGUUUGAAGCUUCUGCUUUUCACUCCUGUGGCUCUCAGUGGCGUGUGGAUAUUGUCAACUUGCACUACAGCAUUGUCUUAAGAUUGACGAGAGGCCACAGCAUUCUGAGGGUUAAAGCCAGUCUUCAGAAACGCUCUGGUCUCUCACUGUGAUUAUUUUCAAAGGCCGCUGAGGUGAUUAGUCGGGUCCUCAAGAGUGUUUCUCCCUAUUAAUAAUGUAAAAAUCUUGUUAAUAGUGUCAAUAUAACCAUGAAGAAAAACAUCCUUAAAACCUGUGUAACUUCAAGUAGGAGCUUUUGAAUGUAGUGAAGGUGCGGCGCAAGUAUUGCAGAAUGUGGUCCUAAGUCAUGGAAUAAGAUGUAGUCUGUAGCACAGUAAACCUUCAUGUUAUACUG